UGAGCUGUUGAUCCCGGGUGUCUCCAGAGCUACUUUCGGCGACCACAUCCAUGUUUAGAUCGGAUGAAAAGUUUCUUCAAGUCACAAGAUGGAUCAGCUAGAAGCUGCAAAAAGAUUACUAAGUUGGAAGCAUGUGCGCCCAGUAGACUGCAAGGCGACCAAGCCCUAAUGACCCUUUCAGCGCAGUGUUAUCACUCCACGCCACCAUGUCAUAUGCAAAGGUAAUGGAGUCAAUCUUAUCACCUACUCCAGUUUACAGAAGUAGUCUUCAAGCCUCCCAUGGAUUGGAGUGGUGGAUUUGCAGAUCUUCAAUGCCGACUAGGCAACGAAGAUUGAUUGUCAUUGCUUGGAUUUUUUUGUGAUAUGAAGCAUUAUUCUGAUUGAUAGGUACUUUCCCCUAAAUCAUUCAUUAUUAUGCAUUUGCUGUCUGGUGAAAACUUAUUGCUUAUUUUAUUACCUGUGUCAACUCAAAAUUACAAUGCACUGAUGCACACGGAAUUGGAACCUCUUGCUCAAAGGAACAACUUUUUUUUAGCAAACCGAAGACAUUAGGUCAAGGUAUAUUCCAGGGUCUCUAUGUAUCAAGGAAAAUGCAAUACAUGAUUCUGGUUCCUGAUCUGCAUGUAAUUUUGUAGCUAUGAGGUGGAGAGUACAUGUAGGUUUCACUAAACAGGUCUUGCCUAUUGUUUCUCCUUUGACUGUAGGAAGUGGCAUGACCCCGUGCUAUAUACUAAUAAUAUCAGUGGUGAGCUCUUUAUGCGAUCCUUAGUGCACUAUGUUUCUCCCUUUGUAAGUACGACACCAUAUUAGCUGGCUGAGUUGUCACCUAUUGCUUAUUUAUUUUCUCCCUUCUAUUGGCAUAUGCACAAAAUUACAUGUUUGAUUGUUAUUUGGCAUAUAUAUUUCAUUGGAGAAAUAGAAUAUAAUAAUUAGAUGGUUGCAUUCCUCAAUGCAUUGAGAUCAGCAAUAUCAGUUGUAAUAUGGUAGCUGUUUUGUUACUAGAGUUUUUACAUGCACCGGCUGUUAAAUUUUGGAAUUGAACGCUUUGGAUAGGUAGGUGUCUUAUUAGCUACAACCAAAUCAAUUCCUUUUGUGCUAUUUCUUUAAGAAGAAAAUAAGAUGCUAUAAAAGUCAGU